rnacentral:rRNA from 1 species
GGCUUAGAGUUUGAUCAUGGCUCAGGAUGAACGCUGGCGGCGUGCUUAACACAUGCAAGUCGAACGGAGUGCUCAUGACGGAGUUUUCGGACAACUGAAUGAGUUACUUAGUGGCGGACGGGUGAGUAACGCGUGAGGAACCUGCCUCGGAGUGGGGAAUAACAACCCGAAAGGGUUGCUAAUACCGCAUAAUGCAGUUGGGUCGCAUGGCUCUGACUGCCAAAGAUUUAUCGCUCUGAGAUGGCCUCGCGUCUGAUUAGCUAGUUGGCGGGGUAACGGCCCACCAAGGCGACGAUCAGUAGCCGGACUGAGAGGUUGACCGGCCACAUUGGGACUGAGACACGGCCCAGACUCCUACGGGAGGCAGCAGUGGGGAAUAUUGGGCAAUGGGCGCAAGCCUGACCCAGCAACGCCGCGUGAAGGAUGAAGGCCCUCGGGUUGUAAACUUCUUUUAUUCAGGACGAACAAAAUGACGGUACUGAAUGAAUAAGCCACGGCUAGCUACGUGCCAGCAGCCGCGGUAAUACGUAGGUGGCAAGCGUUAUCCGGAUUUACUGGGUGUAAAGGGCGUGUAGGCGGGACUGCAAGUCAGAUGUGAAAACCAGGGGCUCAACCUCUGGCCUGCAUUUGAAACUGUAGUUCUUGAGUGCUGGAGAGGCAAUCG